rnacentral:rRNA from 2 species
GGACUACAAGGGUAUCUAAUCCUGUUUGCUCCCCACGCUUUCGUGCCCUCAGCGUCAGUGUCGGCCCAGGAGGCUGCCUUCGCCAUCGGUGUUCCUCCAGAUCUCUACGCAUUUCACUGCUACACCUGGAAUUCCACCUCCCUCUGCCGCACUCUAGCUCCACAGUCCUCAAUGCCAUUCCCAGGUUAAGCCCGGGGCUUUCACAUCAAGCUUAUGAAACCGCCUACGCACGCUUUACGCCCAGUAAUUCCGAUUAACGCUCGCACCCUACGUAUUACCGCGGCUGCUGGCAC